UUUCAAAGGAUCAAACCCUUUUCUCACUCUCGAGUCUCAAUCUUGACAUUCUCCUCUCUCUAUCUCUCUCCCCUCUUUUCGCACCUUUUUCAUCUCCGUUCGAAAACCCCGAUUUCCACUUCGAAUUCGUUCACGCUGUCAAACUCCACAACAACAUCAAGGAGCACUUGAGUGCCCAGGGGAAUCACCUUUGCCGAUCUCGUCACGCCGAAUCCUCAUCGAACCAACGCUCUUCUCAAUUUUGGUGCCUAUAGGGACGUGAGGUUGAACUAUCUUGGAAACUGAGGACGAAGUGAAUGCGAUAGAGGCACAACAAACAGAGUUGGAGGAGAAUAGGAUGUUGCAGGAAGAAAAUCAGGUUUGACAACGCCAUGGUUACUCUUCAAUCAGCCAAGUGCUUGAUUUUGGCCUCGGUUCAACUCAUUGGUAAUCUUAGCAAAGAUAUAUACUUCGUUUUGAUCCUUGCAAGAGAGAGAGAGAGAGAUUUCAUCCAUACACUUGUUGUUGUUAAAUCUAAGUAUUUGCUUGCAGCAAAGUUCCGUAACAGUGGUAAGGGAGGAGGAAGGAAUGAGGGAAAAGUUAUUAGAAAAUUCAGGAGUAUUAAAUUUCUAUGGUUUCAAUUAAUCCAUGACAUAUUUAAAUUUUUUAAUCUAAAAAUAUUAAUAACACUUAAUUAUAUACUAUUAUCAUGUUUUUUAUUCAUUUUUUAAAUUAUAUAUCAUAUUAUAUAAUCUAGAAGUACCUAAUAAUAAUUUAUCCAAAAUGUGGAGAGAGAAAGUGGGUAUAGUAUAAAGAAAACGUAUUCUUUUGCCUCACCUGGCUUCGCUUGGCUGGAACUGUUUACAUUUCAUUUUGAUUCCUAAUCAUCAUUUUCCCUUCUUUUUAUUCUCUGCACAACAAUUCGAGAUUCCAACCAUCGAUCUCAAUUUUCAACCUUAACCUCUAAGAAUGUCUUACGCUUAUCUCUUCAAAUACAUCAUCAUCGGUGACACCGGUAUUUUUUUCAAAUGUACAUUUUCCUUUAUUUUUCUGUUUGCAAAUAUAGCAAGAUGGAUAAGAGGUCUAGUAACAAAUGGUAAUAGUUCUGACUAGUGACUAUUCAAAUCCUUUUUAUCUGAAGGGAGCAAAAGUAAUUCUUGGGGGUAAAAGACAUAGCCUUGGACUUACUUUUUAUGAACCCACAGUCAUCAAUGAUGUCAACAGUGAUAUGCGCAUAUCAAGUAACAGCUAAAGAGUAAACAAGUUUUGAAAAAGUGGAGACCAAACAUCAGAGAGAGGAUGUCAUGAGUUUGAAUGGUAGAGUGGGGAGUUACAAAUGAAGCAGCUGAAGGAUAAAUUUGGUAAUAAAAUGUCGCUCAAUGUCGCGUACUCCACCACCGAAUGGCUCUUUGGACUCUUCACCGGUCGCGUAGGUUUGGUGCUUGAUGCGGUUCACUUGACUUUUGGAUGUGGUCUUCUUACAUUUUUGUUAUUUGUUAUGGCCGCGUCUAGGAAGAAAGCCGAUCAAGAGUAUACUUAUGGUAUGUAGGACUGUAGGAGAGGGGUGCUUGGAUAGUUCUUCUGGAAAUAACCCUGUAAUUGCUUUUUCCUUUUCUAUUAUAGUUAUAAUUGUAAUAAUUAGUUUUGGAGAAUUUUUCUGUACAGUUAUGUCAUGUAUCAAAUUGUAGAAUUCAUAAGGUAUGAGUGAAUAUGUAUGACAAAGUGGUGCACUGACUACAUUCUGUAGAAAGCAUGAUUGUUUUUCCUGCGUGCUAAAGGGAACUUGUUAGUUCUUUACCACUUGGUAUUGCUAGAUUUUAUAAGCUGAAGAACCUACAUUUGGCUCA